rnacentral:tRNA from 1 species
GCCUGGGUGGCUCAGUUGAUUAAGCAUCUGCCUUUGGCCCAGGUCAUAAUCUCACGGUUCGUGGGUUCAAGCCCCACAUCGGGCU